GAUCCUGGCUCAGAGUGAACGCUGGCGGUAGGCCUAACACAUGCAAGUCGAACGGCAGCACAGAGGAGCUUGCUCCUUGGGUGGCGAGUGGCGGACGGGUGAGGAAUACAUCGGAAUCUACACUGUCGUGGGGGAUAACGUAGGGAAACUUACGCUAAUACCGCAUACGACCUACGGGUGAAAGCAGGGGAUCUUCGGACCUUGCGCGAUUGAAUGAGCCGAUGUCGGAUUAGCUAGUUGGG
rnacentral:rRNA from 1 species